rnacentral:rRNA from 1 species
GAUGAACGCUGGCGGCGUGCCUAAUACAUGCAAGUCGAGCGAACAGACGAGGAGCUUGCUCCUCUGACGUUAGCGGCGGACGGGUGAGUAACACGUGGAUAACCUACCUAUAAGACUGGGAUAACUUCGGGAAACCGGAGCUAAUACCGGAUAAUAUAUUGAACCGCAUGGUUCAAUAGUGAAAGACGGUUUUGCUGUCACUUAUAGAUGGAUCCGCGCCGCAUUAGCUAGUUGGUAAGGUAACGGCUUACCAAGGCCACGAUGCGUAGCCGACCUGAGAGGGUGAUCGGCCACACUGGAACUGAGACACGGUCCAGACUCCUACGGGAGGCAGCAGUAGGGAAUCUUCCGCAAUGGGCGAAAGCCUGACGGAGCAACGCCGCGUGAGUGAUGAAGGUCUUCGGAUCGUAAAACUCUGUUAUUAGGGAAGAACAAAUGUGUAAGUAACUAUGCACAUCUUGACGGUACCUAAUCAGAAAGCCACGGCUAACUACGUG